GGGGGUGUUUGUUGGUAGUUGUGAAUCCUGUGGGUGUCUUUUUGUUGUGUUCUUGGGCUUUCUUGUGUGGGGCGAAUGGUCCCCUUGUCUUGAUUUCAUGUUUGUUUUAAAGUACACAUCGCAUGUUGAUGGUGGUUCACUAGCGAUUCUGGUUUGUGAUUUGUGUUGAUUGUUGUCCUUGUCUCUUGUGAUAGAUAUGUUCCCAGUGUGGUGUAAUUAGUUUAAUGUUUGGAUGCAACACCCUGAUGAGCAACUCUUGACGUGAUUUGUCCGGUAGAUGCUAGGGGGAGUGUUUUUAUUGCAAUUUCCUAAUAUCUUUCUCUGUGUUGAAAUGUUUGGUUGGUUGUUGAGUACUUGAUAGCUCUGGGUCUCUGCUCCUCUAAUAGUAUCGUUAUGAGCAUGGGAAACCACACGAGAAUGUUUUGGACCACCUCCAAAAAAUGUCAAUCUCGUGAAAUAUGGCCUAUCUAUUAAGAGCAAAAAUAACUUGACCCCAGAAAAGAGAGUGAAAUGUGAAAAGAUGAAAGAAUGUGAAAAAGGAACGAGAUAUGAUUAUAAAGGAAAUUGCAUUAGGAAAUUCACCCCUAGCGGAGAAUUGGGUCUGAUCGGAUUGAGUUGUAUCAUCUUGUUGUUGCAUUUUAAACCUUAGCUUUGAACACUUGAUGGGGAAUUGAUAUCUAGAGAGACUUGGAUUGGUUGGAGUUGUGAAUGGUGAGGAGGUUUUCUUGUGAACUAUCAUUUUGUGUCGUGACUUUGCUUGAGGAGAAGCAAAGGAUCAAGUGUGGGGGGGUUGUUUAGCCCUAUUUUGUGAUGAAUUUGUGGGUGUUUACAUCUUAUAUUGACUUUUAUUUUGGUCUCUUUCACUCAAGAGUUGAUUGAUUUGAGCUGUUGUGCUAAUUUUGUUGUCUCAGGAUUUUAUGCUCAAAUUGAUUGAUAUGUGGACAAAAAUAAAGUCAGGAUUUAGUUGAAUGGUCUGCAGAAGAAUCGAAGUUCAUCUCGAUACGAGUUCGUAGGCGAAAACGGAUCUAAAAUCCGACUUGAAACGAGGGAGAACGGACCAAAACAAAAACGCUGCGCAUUGCAGUGGCCGGCGCCCGCCGGGAGGCGGCGCCCGCCGUGUCCAUUCUGCGAAGGGCAUAGGCGGCGGCGCCGCCGGGCGGCGGCCGCCGCCCGGGCGGCCAUGGCCGCCUGCGCGGUCUGCCAGUUACGUUUUUGAGGGUUUAAAACCCAUUUUUUAGGGUUUUGAGCGCCCACUCUCGACCCCAGCAGCCUCCAGACGAUUUUCCCUUGUUUUUCCUUAGUUUUAGAGUAGUUAAAACAUCAUCAAACAUAUUUAGCUUUGUGGAUUGAAGAUCAAGUUAGUUUUCUUCACAUCGGAUUGAAGUUUUGAAUCGUUCUCGCUGUAAGAACUUUGUUUAUGUUUUCUUUAGAAUUGAAAGGUAGUUAUUUCCUCUGCAUAGAUUAUUGUUGCUUCGUGUUUAUUCAAUGAAUUGCUUGUUCGUUUAUCUCGCCUAGAUAACUAGUGUUUAUGAUUGUUGAUUUACUAUUGCUUUCUAGAUAGCUAGUUCAGAGCCCUAGGUUUAUUGGCUUUCCUGCGUUCUUAAUCUGCUUCCUAUCGUUCGCCUAGAUAGAUUUAUAUGCUUUCUGUUGAUUCGGUAUUAGAUAAUUCACAAGCUUUAUUUAAUUACGCCUAGAUUUAAAGAGAGAGUGUCAGACCCAAUCUACCCGAUUAGAGUGUUUAGGUUUUAUUUCUGUUUCUUGUGAGUAGCACAGUUAAAGCCCUGCUAAGCCUUCCUUGAGAGACGACUUGAGUCACCUUACCGCCCUAGGACGACCUCGUAUAAAUUCGAGUCCAUCCGCUAGGUGUUUUAGGAUGAGUCAAUUGUUAAUAUAAAAGAAAUUAGUUUUUCAAAUAUAUGCUAAAUUCUCAAAAGCUCUAAAGAAAUUUAAAACAAAUACAAGAGAAAUCAUAACCUGUCACUUGUGAGAUUGGAACACUCCCACCAGUGUCAACAAUAAGAAAACGCCUCUUUCUUUUUUUCGAAGUCUUAUCUGAAAAUUACAAACCAUAGUCACAAAAAAAUAAUAAUAAUAGCAACAUCACUUGCUAAGCAAUCCCAUAUAAUAUUAAAUUUAAUUGUGCAAAUCUAGACACAAUUCAUCAAAUAUUAUGCACCUCGCAAACUUCUCGACUGAGUAGUUAGAGCAUGUGAACACUCAGGGCCAAAGAUAAUUGGCGUAGCCAUAUCAGUUGUUGAUGGAGUAGGUAAACUAAACAAUAAACGUCUUGAAGUUGUACACAGAGCCGUCUGAGCCAUCUGAACACAAAAAUAAUAUUAAAUUUGCAUAAAAGCAACAAAGAAUUGGAAAGUAAAUAGUAGGUGUGACUACACAGCUAGCAACAUGCCUUAUACAAUAAUUAAAAUUCCCAUACACCAUAGUUUAAAAUAAAAACACGAAAUAAAUAAAGGUAAGUGUGCAAGUGAUACAAAUGAGUUAAUAAAAUAAAAUAAAAACACAGAAAGCUCAACAGUACGUAACCUUCCGUUGAAAGCACACAUCUUCUUUUUGCCNUUUUAAACCUUAGCUUUGAACAUUUGAUUGGGAACAUAGAUAUCUAGAAAGACUUGGAUUUGUUGGUGUUUUGCUUGGUGAGUAGAAUCGCUUGUGGAUUUCCAUUUGAUGUUGUGAUUUUUGCUUGAGGACAAGCAAGGAAUUAAGUGUGGGGGGGUUGUUUAGCCCUAUUUUGUGAUGAAUUUAUGGGUGUUUACAUCUUAUAUUGACUUUUAUUUUGG
rnacentral:lncRNA from 1 species